rnacentral:rRNA from 1 species
UCCGUAGGUGAACCUGCGGAAGGAUCAUUAAUGAAAUGAAUGUAGAGUCGGUUGUAGCUGGGUCUUUUAAUCGAGGCCAUGUGCACACCUUCUCUUUCAUCCACUCACACCUGUGCACCUGUUUAGACGGUCGAAGGAAAAAGUCUUUCUCGCGAGAGAGAGGCCGGCUCCUUUUCCCGUCCAAUACAUAAAAUCUUAUAUAUUUAAUCAGAAUGUAAUCGAUGUAAACGCAUCUAUAAACUAAGUUUCAACAACGGAUCUCUUGGCUCUCGCAUCGAUGAAGAACGCAGCGAAAUGCGAUAAGUAAUGUGAAUUGCAGAAUUCAGUGAAUCAUCGAAUCUUUGAACGCACCUUGCGCUCCUUGGUAUUCCUCGGAGCACGCCUGUUUGAGUAUCAUGAAAUUCUCAAAGCAAGUCUUUUGUUAAUUCAACUGGCUUUUGCUUUGGAUUUGGAGGUUUUGCAGAUUCACGUCUGCUCCUCUUAAAUGCAUUAGCUGGAUCUCUAUAAAACCGGUUCCACUCGGCGUGAUAAGUAUCACUCGCUGAGGACACUCUUGCAAAAGGGUGGCCGGAUUCAUGGACGAACCGCUUCUAACGGUCUAUUAGAUUAGACAAACACACUUUAUGAUCUGAUCUCAAAUCAGGUGGGACUACCCGCUGAACUUAAGCAUAUCAAUAAGCGGAGGA